rnacentral:rRNA from 1 species
UACGAAGGGGGCUAGCGUUGUUCGGAAUUACUGGGCGUAAAGCGCACGUAGGCGGAUUGUUAAGUCAGAGGUGAAAUCCCGGAGCUCAACUUCGGAACUGCCUUUGAUACUGGCAAUCUCGAGUCCGGAAGAGGUUAGUGGAAUUCCCAGUGUAGAGGUGAAAUUCGUAGAUAUUGGGAAGAACACCAGUGGCGAAGGCGGCUAACUGGUCCGGUACUGACGCUGAGGUGCGAAAGCGUGGGG